AAUUUAUGACUUUAAACAACUGGUCCGUUACUUUGUAACGAGUAUUGGUUUGUUUUUGUCAUCCUUCUGGAGAGCACUUCUGACCUUGAUUGGUAUGGAUGUUGUAAUCCAGAUCAUUUACUGUGAGUAAAUCAAAGUGUUCAAAGCAGGCUUGUGAAGCUUGUAUGCUCUAGCAUGGAAUAAUAAGAUAGGACUUGGGUUCUAUUUUGUUGGCUUUCAGAACCAAAGUAAUGAUCGAUAGGGAUAGUUGGGGGUGCUAGUAUUUAACGGUCAGCGGUGAAAUGCUCAGACCCGUUAAAGACUAACUUAUGCGAAAGCAUU
rnacentral:rRNA from 1 species